GCGCCGUUAGUGUAAGGGUAAGCACGGUCCCUGUCCAGGGGGCAGGAGCGGGUCCGAGUCCCAGCACGGCGCUCCA
rnacentral:tRNA from 1 species